UCUGGGGGGCCAGCUCCUCCAGGCGGGGGCUCCUGGAACCUCAGCGAGGGUGUUGGCUCCCAGGUCACUGCAGCCGGGACAGCAGGGGACGCCUGAGCCAUUGAAGGCCACACCCCCCGGGAAUCUUUGGGAUCUGUCCCUGCCGCUCUGGCCACUGUGCAGGGGACCUCAAGCGGGGGACAAGGGUGCCCCUCUUAGCUGCCUUCCUGCAGCCAGGGAGCGGUGACGGCAGGGGCAGGCAGGGGCUGCGUCUGAGGCUGUGGGUGGGGCUGCCGCCCUGGGGUCUCUGGGUUGGGGUGCCCGAUGAAGCCCCUUCCCCGCAGGGAGUAUCUUAGGCCAGCGGCCCUGAGAACAGGCUGGGGCUGUGGGAAGAAGGGUUCCACUGGCCCCGAGCCCUGCGUCGUCUUCAGGGGUGGGGAGAAGGCAGCAGCUCUCUCCCUGGCACCGAGGCUCUUGUGGGCUGCCUGGAGGCCAGUCCAAGUC
rnacentral:lncRNA from 10 species